CUUUUUAUAUUUGGUGCUCAAUGAAAAAUUUAAUCGCAAAUACUUGGUGGUGGAACAACUUACGAAAAACAUCGUGAGCACAGCAUCAUUGUAGUAAAACUAUAUAAAGGCUUGUC
rnacentral:ncRNA from 2 species